UUUAAGAAUAUGGCGGAGUAGGGGCUUCUUUCUCUCUUUUUGCUUUCCGUCUUUCUUUCUUUCUUUUUUCUUCCUUUCUUUCUUC
rnacentral:ribozyme from 1 species